GUUAUAUUCUAUGAAAGAAGAAGCCGAAGCUCAAAGUCCACUAGGAACAAGUCAGCAGCACUCCUAGGCAAAGUCAAGACAGGGCAGCGGCUCCGGAGAGAUUUAUAAUCAAACGAGGUGUAUUCAUUUUGCAUCCUGGAUGUAGGCCCCUACCUCAGCUCCUCCCAGUCCUAUCCACCCUCCCUCUUCCGCCUAAGGGUCAAAACCAGGGCCGUGUACAGGCAGGUCUAGAACUGAAGACGCUGAGCUCCGUCUUCAGUUCUCUGCUCCCGCUCCUUCACGCUCAUGCUUGUAUUUGUUGAAUCUCUAUUCAAGGUCUGGAAACUACAGA